GACGAACGCUGGCGGCGUGCCUAAUACAUGCAAGUUGAGCGCUGAAGGUUGGUACUUGUACCAACUGGAUGAGCAGCGAACGGGUGAGUAACGCGUGGGGAAUCUGCCUUUGAGCGGGGGACAACAUUUGGAAACGAAUGCUAAUACCGCAUAAAAACUUUAAACACAAGUUUUAAGUUUGAAAGAUGCAAUUGCAUCACUCAAAGAUGAUCCCGCGUUGUAUUAGCUAGUUGGUGAGGUAGAGGCUCACCAAGGCGAUGAUACAUAGCCGACCUGAGAGGGUGAUCGGCCACAUUGGGACUGAGACACGGCCCAAACUCCUACGGGAGGCAGCAGUAGGGAAUCUUCGGCAAUGGACGAAAGUCUGACCGAGCAACGCCGCGUGAGUGAAGAAGGGUUUCGGAUCGUAAAACUCUGUUGGUAGAGAAGAACGUUGGUGAGAGUGGAAAGCUCAUCAAGUGACGGUAACUACCCAGAAAGGGACGGCUAACUACGUG
rnacentral:rRNA from 1 species